AGCUUGCACACUGGCACGACUAAUACGCAGAUUUUGCACACAAGCUUCCAAAAUGAAGACAGCCGCAGUUUUACUUGCAGAAGGUGCAGAAGAAAUGGAAACUGUUAUUUCAGUCGACGUUUUGCGGCGUGGAGGCGUAUGCUUUUUUUGCAGUUUAUUUUCAGUUAAAAAAUAAAUGUCAUAACUUAAUUACAUGUAUGAAAAUUUUAUUAUAUAUCACAUUCUAUAUAGAUUUUUUUUUAUAACCGAGGACGAAUAUAUAUAUACGCCCUUGUUAUAUCAUACAUUUUAUGACACCGAAGUUUUGAUAUUAUAGCACAAGGGCUUGCAUAGUUAAAAUCAUUAUAGUUAAAAAUAAAGUUGAGAACUAAUGGCUUUUAAUUCCUGUAUCAAAUUUCAAGAUAAACGCCAGUUUCAUCAGGUGUACUAUGACCUUGCAAAAAGUUCCAUAUAUUAAUGUCAUAUUCCCUAUAAUUUCUGAUUCCCUAUUACUUCUCCAGCUAGGCAACAUUAAUGGAAAUCGCCCACUUUUAUUGAUAUCAACAUUGAAUAUAUAUAUAUAUAUAUAUAUAUUUUAGAUUGAUGUAAAGUUAGUAGGGGUGCAAGGAAGUGAAGCAGUGCUUUGCAGCAGAAAUGUGAAAAUUGUCCCUGAUACAACUCUUGCAGAGGCAUCAAAGUCUGCACCUUAUGAUGUAGUGGUGCUACCAGGAGGAGCAAAUGGAGCCAAGAAUCUCGCAGCUGUAAGUUUCUUAGACUAAUGUUUAAGUGUUAAAAAUUGAGAUGAGUCUUGAGACAAUCUAAUUAAAAUCAGAUGUUAGAUACACUCGUUUACUAGCUUCACAAGUUGACAUUUAAUACAUGUACAUCUCAUUGAGGUUCAAGUCAGAGUGGCCUUUCAGCUUGAGCUAACCAAUGAAAUUAAUUGUUCUGAAUCUUUGCAUAAGAAUUUGGAACUUCUCAGGGUUUUUUUGGCAUACAUAGAUGACCAAGGUGUUCUAAGAGAAUGAAAACAAAACUUGCAUGUAGCAAGUAGACAAAUUAUUUGUGGAGCACAUGGCUCAGUGGUCAUAGGCGUUAGGCCAGUAACAGUGCUGGUUCAAACCCCGCUGUAGUCACUUGAUGUUGUGUGUUGUGCACUUAGACAAGGAACUUUAUCUACAUUGUCACAGUCCACCCAGCUGAAAAUGGGUACCGGCUUAUGUUUGGAGUUAACCUGCGAUGGACUGGUGUCCCAUCCAGGGGAAGUCAGUGACUCUCAUCCAAAAACCGGGGAUAAACAUGGGCCUGAUGCAUCUUUAUGUCACAGAGAAGGAUUUAACUUUAACUAAGCAAGAAGACAAGCGGAUCUUAAGUCCAAUUUUAAUUAGAUUAGAAAACAGAAUUUAAGAUUUCAUAUUUUCAUGGAAAUUAGUUGCAUCAAACUGUUCAGAAACAUUUCUGCUUAUAUAUGGAAAUUAUUUUUGAAUCCUUAUGAAUAUAUGAUCAAAUCAGCUCAACCCCUAGGCAAUUGAACUUUAUGUACAUGUAGGUACCAUUGGCAAAGAACGAUCUAUAUAUGUAAAUUGAAAUUAGUGGCAUCUAUCAGUAUUCUGAUUAAAUUUUUGUUUUGUUUUUUGUUUUCAGUCUGCUGAAGUAAGAAAUCUUUUGGAAACACAAGUGAAAAAUAACAAACUAGUAGCAGCUGUGUGUGCAGCACCCAUUGCACUGGUAAGCCAUAAUAUCAAACCAGGAUCUACAGUGACCUCUCACCCCUCAGUCAAAGGCAAAAUGGAGGAAGGGGGCUACAAAUACAGUGAGGACCGUGUUGUGACUGACGGCAAGCUGAUCACCAGUAGAGGGCCAGGGACAACUUUUGAAUUCGCACUGAAAAUAGUGGAGACUCUUGAAGGCAAAGAGAAGGCAUAUUCACUUGUUCAGCCCAUGUUGCUGAAAUUGUAAUGACUGCAAGUCUCAAAGCAGAAAUUGAUGACUGUUAUUUUCCCUACAAAGUUAGUUGGAUUUUGCCAUAUAAUUUUCAGAGAGAAAAAAUUAGUGCUAUAUGUUGUUUGAUUUUGUUAUUUUGGAAGAAAUAUAACCAUGUUGUUUUCCAAGGGGUGCUUUUUUUGUGAUCUUUAUAUUUCAAAAUAAAUUGAUAUCUGAUAUCAAC
rnacentral:misc_RNA from 1 species